GCAUCUGAAGUCGAUAAAACCUGAAGAUAAUCCAUAUUUGCAUAUAUAACUAUUGUCGUUAUUGUGUAUUACUCGGCCUUAACCCAUAUACUGUAUGUUAUAUUAACGUGUAAGAUAUUCUGUAUAUGUUAAUGUUACUGCAUACAAAAAAAAAAAACAAUUAAUCAAGUAGUGAAGGAUCGUUCGAUCCUAAGAAGAUCACUCCCAUAAUAGUUAAGUCAAAAAUCC
rnacentral:lncRNA from 1 species